rnacentral:rRNA from 1 species
CACGUAGGGGGCAAGCGUUGUCCGGAUUUAUUGGGCGUAAAGGGCGCGUAGGCGGCACGGCAAGUCAGGAGUGAAAGCCCUGGGCUCAACCCGGGAACUGCUUUUGAAACUGCCGAGCUAGAGUGCGGAAGGGGCAACUGGAAUUCCCAGUGUAGCGGUGAAAUGCGUAGAUAUUGGGAAGAACACCUGAGGCGAAGGCGGGUUGCUGGGCCGACACUGACGCUGAUGCGCGAAAGCCAGGGGAGCGAACGGG